UACCACAGUGACAUUCUACCUAAACCACAGGUCCAGACUCAAAGGAGUCAAGGACUACAGACAGAAACUGUGAGGCAAGGGCAAUGGAGCAUGCUGUACCAGCUUAUGAGGACCUGUUUUGAACAAACACCAAGAUUGAUAAUGUGCCCCUAAGGGGAAGCGUCUAUACAGCCGGGUUCUUCACUGUAAGAGACAGAAGCAAGGAGAAGGAGAACAAGAAGAACAUCAAGAAGAAGAAGAACAAGAAGAAGAAGAAUGGUAAGGUAUGGAGAUGUAGCUUAGUCAGUAGAGUCUUGUCUG
rnacentral:lncRNA from 1 species